AUGUCUUUCUUUCAAUUUCUUUCAAUUUCUCAUAAAGUUCAUAUUUUUUUUCAUAUCUCAAUUUCGUGGUUUUUCAAUUUUUGGGUGUUGGAUUUUUUUGUUUUAGGUUAUUAGGGUUCAUAGAAAAUUGUCCUUAUUUUUGUUUUUGCUAGUGGGGUUACAGUGAAACACAAAACUGAAGAAUUUUGGAACCAAAAAUUAGAGAGAAUAGAAGUAUCAUGAUAAAUUUGAAGUGGGCAAGUGACUUGGUUUUAAGACAAAAAUUUGAGAAUAGAAACCGUCUAAUUUGUCAUGAUAAUGCAUUUUCUUCAUUACACUGUAUUUUGUUGUGUGAAUUUGUAUGACCGAUACCAUGAUUAUAUAUUGAACGGUUGCAUUUUUGAAGAAAAUAAAAGUUAAAAGAUGUUGUUAAUUUUUAUUUAGCAGGGUAGUAUUUCUAAAGAAAAAAAUUGAAGAUGUUAUUGAUUUUUGCUUAGAAUAGUAGUAUUUUAAAGAGAAAAAAAAUCAAAGUUAAUUUUUUUUAUUGAUUUUUGUUUAUUGUGCGCGACGGCGGAAUGACAUUAGGGAUCUUGUUUUAGUAUUAGGUUUAUGCUUUAUUUAUUUUUCUUGACGCAAGGUUUAGGUUUUUUUUUUAACAAUAUAAAACAAAACAUUAAUAUAAUAUAAAAACAAACAAAUUUAAUUUACAAAAUAUCAUUUGUCUUGUUGGUAAGUUAUAUAUUUUGCAAAUAAAUAAUGAUUAAGGUUCCGUUUGGAUUGACUUAUUUUUGAGUUUAUGCAAGCAGCUUAUGCAAUUUUUACGUAUUAUUAUA
rnacentral:lncRNA from 1 species